rfam:Asian citrus Psyllid, Diaphorina citri - Florida Strain, whole genome shotgun sequence.
GGUUCCGUGGUGUAGUGGUUAUCACGUCUGCUUUACACGCAGAAGGUCGCCAGUUCGAUCCUGGCCGGAAUCA